rnacentral:lncRNA from 1 species
GGAGGGAAUUUGGCAGGAGGACAUGCUCCUGCUUAGAAUAGACCUGGGGUGAGGGAGUGGUAAGGGGAAAAGAUUACUGAGUCCCAGAAAAGGAAGUGGGAGACAGUUCUUGCAUGCUGGGGAAAUGAGACUGCGAGUAUGAGGCUUGCUGAAAUUUGAGGGAGAACAAAGUAAGACGCCAGGUAAGAGAACGUGGGGUGCGCAUCCUGGGUAGAUAUUGGGAAGUGGGGGUACAAUAGCAAGAAACAAUGGAUAGUCAUGGGGGUGGGGGGGAUAGGGCACUUAGAAAAGAAAGAACACAAGAAGGGCUGUUGGGAGGGAGGGAGAGGAGUAGAGACAUACAGUAUUUUUUAAGAAAAAACAUAUUUUUUAGGAUUUUUUCUGGAGUUUGGGGUUUUAGUUUUUCUGCUUUUGUUUUCCACAAAAUAAAAAACAAAAAAAAACUUUUUUUUUUCCUUUACACUCUGGCAACUGC